rnacentral:tRNA from 1 species
GCAAUAAUAGCUUAACCAAGAGCAUUGGUCUUGUAAGUCAAAGGUGGAUAGUGUUAUCCUUAUUGCU